rnacentral:rRNA from 1 species
GGGGCUAGGGCAUGGGCGCAGCCUGAUGCAGCCAUGCCGCGUGAGUGAUGAAGGCCUUCGGGUUGUAAACCUCUUUCGCGGGGACGAUGCUGACGGUACCCGCAGAACAAGCCCCGGCUAGCUCCGUGCCAUCAGCCCCGGUAAUACUAAGGGCGCUAGCGUUGUUUUGAAUUACUGGGCGUAACGUGCUCGUAAGCUAUUCGGCUUAUCGGGUGUGAAAUCGCCGGGCUCAACCUCGGAAGUGCCCUCCAGACUGAACCGCUGGAGUUCGGUAGAAGCGGGUGGAAUUCCGUGUGUAGAGGUGAAAUGCAAAUUAUAUUGGGAGGAACGCCAUUGGCGAAGGCGGGGCGGUGGCCCGGUGCUGACGCUGAGGUGCGGAACCGUGGGGGACGAACAGGAU